AAGAAAAAAUUUAAUUAUUUUUAGUGUUUUGAAAUUAUUUAAUAUAAAUAAAUUUAAUUUAAUAAUUUUUUGUAUUGUUUAAAGAUCAAAUAAUUUUUUUAAUAGUUUAAUAGUAUUGAGAAAGAAAAUUGAAAAAUUUUUUUGUUUAUUAAAAAGUAGUAUUUAUUUUAUGUACCUUUUGUAUCAGGGUUUAUUAAAUAAAAAUAAAAGAUUUUAUAUUCUCGAAUUUAAAGGAGCUAAAUUAAUAUGAGAGUUCUUGUAUUAUAAAGAUUUUAAAUAUUAAUUUAGAAAUGAAAUGUUAUUCGUCUUUAAAGAUAUCUAGUUUUUUAAGAAAUAAAUUUAAUUUAUAUAUUAAUUAAUUAAUUUUUUAAUUUUUAAAUAAGUUAAUAAUUAAUAUAAAUAUAUCAAGGGAUAAGCUUUGAUUUAUUAAAAUUAUAAUUGUGUUAAAUAUUAAAUUAAUUGUAAAUUUAGAAAUAGUUAUCAAUAAAAAAUUUGUAUUAAUUUAUAAAUCUAUAAAAAAUAUUUAGUAAAAAUUUAAUUUUAGUAUUAAAAUGUAAAUUUUAAUUUUAAAAAUUUAGUAAUAAUGAUAAAAUUAGUAUAGUAGUGUUGUUUGAAUUAAAGUUAUAAUAAAGUUAUUUUAAGGAAUUCGGCAAAAAUAAUGUUCACCUGUUUAACAAAAACAUGUCUUUUAGAAUAUAAUUUAAAGUCUAACCUGCCCACUGAAUUUUUUUGAAGGGCCGCGGUAUUUUGACUGUGCAAAGGUAGCAUAAUCAUUAGUCUUUUAAUUGGAGGCUUGUAUGAAUGGUUGGAUGAAACAUUAACUGUCUCAAUAUAAUAAAAAUAGAAUUUAAUUUUUAAGUUAAAAAGCUUAAAUAAUAUUAGAGGACGAGAAGACCCUAUAGAUCUUUAUAAUUAAUUUUUUAUUAUUUAUAUAGAAUAUUAAUUAGUAUUAAUUAAUUAAUUAUUUUAUUGGGGUGAUAAAUAAAUUUAGUAAACUUUAUUUAAUUUAAACAUUUAUUUAUGAAUAAUUGAUCCAUUAUUAGUGAUUAAAAGAUUAAGUUACCUUAGGGAUAACAGCGUAAUUUUUUUAGAGAGUUCUUAUCGAUAAAAAAGUUUGCGACCUCGAUGUUGAAUUAAAGGUUAAUUUUAGGUGCAGAAGUUUAAAGUUUUGGUCUGUUCGACCAUUAAAUCUUUACAUGAUUUGAGUUCAAACCGGCGUGAGCCAGGUUGGUUUCUAUCCUUAAUAAAAGAAAAUAUUUUAGUACGAAAGGACCAAAUAUUUAAAAAAUUUUUUAUAAUAAGAAUAAUAUUAAU
rnacentral:rRNA from 1 species